rnacentral:rRNA from 1 species
CGGGUGAGUAACACGUGGAUAACCUACCUAUAAGACUGGGAUAACUUCGGGAAACCGGAGCUAAUACCGGAUAAUAUAUUGAACCGCAUGGUUCAAUAGUGAAAGACGGUUUUGCUGUCACUUAUAGAUGGAUCCGCGCCGCAUUAGCUAGUUGGUAAGGUAACGGCUUACCAAGGCAACGAUGCGUAGCCGACCUGAGAGGAUGAUCGGCCACACUGGAACUGAGACACGGUCCAG